AGCAUAUUCCCGUCAAGUCAAGUUGCCAGCCACGCCGAAUACCUUCUAACUUUUACCAUGAAGCUGAUGUGUGUCCUCGCCUUUCUUCUGUUUGCUGGUCUUGUGACCUACUCCGAAGCCAGCUGUUGCUGUCAUCACGGCAGUCACAAGAGCCACCACAGCAGGCACGGCAUCCCCAUCCCCAUCCCCUACUCCAUGGGCGGCAGCAGCGGCGGCAGCCACUCCUCCAACAUCCCUCUCGUCAUCACAACGGCUGGAAAAUAGUUACAACGAUAUGCAACAGAUUUGCAGCCUGCUCCUUUCCGUGAAUACUACAAUCCUUGCUGCGCAUGCCCAGCAUCAGUCGACUCUGGCGGGAUGUGAUUGGCAACUUAUGACUGUAUACUUAUUCAUAGUAAUAUUGUAACAGUCAAUACUUUACAAUAUAUUCAGUUAAAGGUG